UAAGUGUUAGAUUUUCAAAAAAAAAUAUAUCAAAUGAAAGGGAAAUAUCUAAGGUUUCAAUACAAAAAAAUAUUAUUUUUAUUUGUUCAUUUUUGAAAAAGUUAUGGCAGUUUUAAGUACAAAAAACAUCCCGAUAAAAUGUAAUUUUUAUCGCAAACAUUACAUUUUUUUUUAAAUUUUCGACAGCCAUUUGCACAUAGAAGAUAAGAUGUCGGGACAAAUUUUUUUUUUUCAUUUGAUAGUAUAUAACAUAACCUUUGAUUUGAUAUAUGUUUAAAGGACGCAGUAUUUCCGGAACAUUUUCAAAAGUUCAGUUGAAAAAGAUCUAUGUUUUUUACAAUAUUUUAAGUUUUGAACGCCCCCUAUAUAAGGGGAAAUUGUCCAAUUUUAAUAAAAAGUAUGUCAAAUGAAAGAUGUACUUAUAAUGUAUUUAGAAAAAAAAAAUUUGUGCUGAUAUAUACAUUUUUCAAAAAGUUAUAGCAUUUUUAAGUUGAAAAUUUAAAAUCGAAAAUCGAAAAUUUUAACACAAAAAUAGUGUUUUUUUAACUACGGCAGCCGUUUAAAUGUAGAAGAAAAAGUGUCGGGACAAAUUUUUUUUUUUCAUUUUAUAGUACAUAAAAUAAGCUUUAAUUUGAUAUAUGUUUAAAGGACGCAGUAUUUCCGGAACAUUUUCAAAAAUUAAGUUGAAAAAGUUAUUUUUUGUAAAAAAAAUUACUAUUUUAAAUCCUCCCAGUGAGCAGAAUAAGUGUUAGAUUUUCAAAAAAAAUUAUAUCAAAUGAAAGGGAAAUAUCUAAGGUUUCAAUACAAAAAAAUAUUAUUUUUAUUUGUUCAUUUUUGAAAAAGUUAUGGCAGUUUUAAGUACAAAAAACAUCCCGAUAAAAUGUAAUUUUUAUCGCAAACAUUACAUUUUUUUUUAAAUUUUCGACAGCCAUUUGCACAUAGAAGAUAAGAUGUCGGGACAAAUUUUUUUUUUUCAUUUGAUAGUAUAUAACAUAACCUUUGAUUUGAUAUAUGUUUAAAGGACGCAGUAUUUCCGGAACAUUUUCAAAAGUUCAGUUGAAAAAGAUCUAUGUUUUUUACAAUAUUUUAAGUUUUGAACGCCCCCUAUAUAAGGGGAAAUUGUCCAAUUUUAAUAAAAAGUAUGUCAAAUGAAAGAUGUACUUAUAAUGUAUUUAGAAAAAAAAAAUUUGUGCUGAUAUAUACAUUUUUCAAAAAGUUAUAGCAUUUUUAAGUUGAAAAUUUAAAAUCGAAAAUCGAAAAUUUUAACACAAAAAUAGUGUUUUUUUAACUACGGCAGCCGUUUAAAUGUAGAAAAAAAAGUGUCGGGACAAAUUUUUUUUUUUCAUUUUGUAGUACAUAAAAUAAGCUUUAAUUUGAUAUAUGUUUAAAGGACGCAGUCUUUCCGGAACAUUUUCAAAAAUUAAGUUGAAAAAAUUAAUUUUUGUAAAAAAGUUGCCAUUUUAAAUCCCCCCCAAUGAGCAGGUUAAGUGAUAGAUUUUCAAAAAAAUGAUAUCAAAUGAAAGGUAAAUAUCUAAGGUUUUAGUAUAAAAAAAAAUUAUGUUGAUUUGUUGAUUUUUCAAAAAGUUAUGGAAGUUUUAAGAAAAAAAAGUGAAAAAAUUUCGAAAAUUAGCGAUUUUUAAAUUUGUAAUUUUUUUGGAUAUUUCCCCCAUUUGCGGGGAACGAGGGAAUUUUUUUCAAUUUUUAAGGGUAAUGUCUUCAACUAGAUACGAUUUUUGAUCUUUUGACGUAUUUUUGAAAGAAAUCGGUCCAGUGAGAGCUGAGAAAAAGUGGCAACAGACAUAAAAAAAAAAAAAACACAUCAUAGUAAAAUUAAUACCUUCU